rnacentral:lncRNA from 1 species
AGGGUCAUACAUAAGUUACUGUAAUUUUGCAGCUGCUUUCUAAUACCUCAUAAUCAUUAAGAAGUGGAGGAGUAACAAUACUGAUGAAAGCAAGUAUCAGAUCCUAAAAGAUUAAUUAAAAACUCUAUUAUUUAACACUCUCAAUUUAACAGGCCUGGACUGACCUUUCCUCCUCAGUUAAGAACAAAAACCCCAGAGCAAACAAAAUAACAACCCCACACACCUGCUUUUUUUUGUGGUAGCUCACCUGUUUGUCUGAUAGCUCACCUGAAUCAGGUGUUUUUUACUCAAUAAAAGAGCUGCAAGCAGGGUAAUCAGUGGCUCUGUGUCAAUGUGCAGCAGCUGAGGAUCUGGUCUGAAAAGCAAUCAACAUCCUUCUUUUUGCUGUCUUGCAAAGUACCUGCGGCAGCUGCUCUGCAGGUCCCCUGCUGUGCAAAUCGCCCUUCACAGAGGAAGAUCUUCCUGUCAGUGACUGACGAGAGGUGCCAGGAGCAGGCUAGGAGACUUUUAAAACCCUCGACUUGGCAAAUCAGCAGCGCUAUGAAAAACUAUCACUUUGUUACUUUGGGUCUUUUGAGGAGAAGACUUCAUAGACUUGAAAGGCUUUAUGAAGGAAGCUGGAGGCAGUUCUCAUUAGUCUCACUGACAUCUUUUAUCACUUAUCAGAGGAACAAGCAAACGGAGAGCAAUUCCUUUGAUCAUGGCAAAAGUAGAAAGAGUAUUAAAAACCCUAUGAAGAUUCACUAAGUAGAAAGUGGAAAAGACAGUCUGUGGCAUGUUUCAAAGAAGUAACAUGAUUUAAAGUUGCCAGAUUUGCUUGUAUAUAUUAAAGAAUUGUUAAUGAUGCUACAUUUUACAUGCAUCCCAGGGUGGGUUUUUUUGUUGUUGUUGUUUUUGUUUGAAGAAGAGGCGAAGGAGUUCUGAAGUAGAAUGGAUGGAUUAGAGCAAUUGGAAAAUAUCUCUAAAGGGUGAACUGUGUCAGAAAGGAAUCCAGAGAUUCAAUGAAAAUUGUUGAAAAUAAAAAUAAGGUUGUACGGUGCCA